rnacentral:rRNA from 1 species
AUGGAAAGCGAGUCCGGUAUGGAGACGGAGGGGGAAUCCGGCAAGGGGCAGGAUUUGCUGUUGGAUCUGGGGAGGAAACUCGGGAAGAUGGAAAUCGAGUUAGGGAAGUGGACGGAGCAGGCUUCCGGCAAGGAGCAGGAGACGGUGCGGGAUCUGAAGAAGCAGCACAGAAAACUCAGUAAGAAUCGUAGGUACCUGGAGAGGUAUAUGGGGAUGUUGAGGGAAGCCAAGGAGCCGGAGAAGGAGUUGAUGAUUAUUAAGGAGAAGGAGAAGGAGAAGCAACUCUCGAAGAAGCAGGAGACGGUGGUGGAUUCCGGCGAGGAGGAGAUGGACGGGGAUUCGGCGCAGCACCAGUCCCUGAUGGAGGAGAUCAUAUCCGUGGAGAGGGAGCGCAAAGACCUGCUUUGGCUCACUUACUCCUACCUUUUCUCUCUGGAAAGAGAUUGA